rnacentral:lncRNA from 1 species
UUUUUGGUUUUUUUUUGUUUGUUUGUUUGUUUGUUUUUUGCUACAAGUCAAAAAUCCGCUAAUUAAGAAAAUAUUCUUUGACCACAUUAAAUCUGCACUUAAUCUAGAAAUCUAGAAACCCUUUCAAAUGCCCUAGUCUGUAAGUUAGGCAUUUGUCUUUCCUAGAGCCUCUCCUCUGUCAGACCAAAAUCACCACUCAUUUGACUGUUCCCUUGGAUUGGUAAGAGGCAAGUGAAAUAGCAAACAGCCUUUCAGCUUUUUCCAGUCUUCCCACAAGGGAACUAUCAUACCAGAUAUUGGAGAGGACCAGAAGUUUGGCAACAUUGACUGAGGACCCAACCUAUCCAGGAGGCAUUUUCUCUGGCACACAUUGGCUCACCCAACCAAGCUAUAGAUUUAUUAGGCCUUUUGAUCACGCCUUAUAAUGACCCGAAGAGAGGCUGGCUUUUGUAGAGCCGUCCCAUCCCAUUAGACAAAAGGGCAUGAGGAGCUGAAUGUGUAAGGGGAUGGGGUCCUGAAACGUUUGUGGUAUUUUUCAGAUAUCUUCAUGAGUCAACCCUGACUGAAAGAAAAAUAUGAAUAAUGCUUUCAUUUUUCCACCCUAUAUAAUAUAGUCCCAGAGAUCAUUUAGAGAAAGCACAGUUGUGUUGUUAUUGAAACACACACACACACACGGGUCUUCCAUCAAGAAAGCUCAUUCUCCAAAAAAAAAAAAAAAAAAUCUUAUUUUAAAAUACUAGCUAGCUCUUCAGGCCAGGAAAUUAAUAAUUCCUAGACCUGACCCAUUUUCAUAACUUCCAGAAAGGAAAAGGAAAAGCUACUUAAAUUUUGUGUGAAUCUAUUUAUCUCUUAAAAUAUGUCAAAGCAGUUUGUCGCUGGGGUAGAAAGGGAGGUGUUUAUCUCUCUUGCUUGAUUCCUUCUGUUUCUGAGGGGAAAGCGGUAAACAACAAGGGCCUAGCGUUCUUGGGGCACUGCGUUGCCAUUUUCUGCACCGUCUGCUUUGCUUCAUACUGACGUGCAGUAAUUCAUAGUUGCUUUCAUAAAUAUCCAUAUUUUUCAUCACAGUGGAGUAAAUAUAUUAGGUUUGAAUAUUUUUGCUCACCAAAUUAUUUACUUCAUUUCUCAAUCAGGAAAUAGAAAGCAGGCUGAGCUGGCCUUCAUUUAUACACCCUCCUUCAACCCCAUUUUGCUUUAUUUCUUAGGGGCGACUUGGGUGAAAGAGAAACAGCCUAGUUCCUCCUCAUCUUUUGGGUAGCCAUGGUGGUCACAUACUGUAUCUGCCUAACGUGUUUCAUCCCUUCAAACACAGACUGAGAGGAAAGGUGGGCUUCAUAAUUUAAAUACCAUCGAUGGGAAGGUUCUCAUUUUGCCUAGCAAAUUGUAAGACGGGAGCUGAUCCUUGAGCAGUAUGUGCAUUUUGAGUUCUGUUUGGUUGCUAGGAGUGUCAGCUACAUCAGCCUAUGGGACUGCACCAUAGUGCACAGACCUCAAUCGUUCAGUGGCAGACUGAAUUAGCCUAGACGCUCCUUCCACCUCAUGUGAAAAGCCCAAACUGACAGGGGUCCAAAAUGAAAUGGAGACUCCAGACACUGAUCUGAUUUAAAAAAAAAAAAAAGUUUGUCAGGAAAGCAGUAGCAAAAUUAUUUCUCAGUGACUGUCGUUUACUACCCAUUUGUACACUCAGGACAUCUGAAAAUCAAACUACCCAAGACCUCUUUGCUCAUGAAGGAAGUUAGAAAAAUUCCCCUUAAGCAUUGGAAUCGAGUCUUCACUCUUUUCCAGAAAACAUUUCUAGGAGAAAAUAGAAUUAAAAAGGACCCGUGGCAGGCUCUUGAAUAAGAGUGCCGUGUCGAAUUCUGUGCCGUACGCAAAACCUGAAGCUUAGAGGCCCAGUGUGCAGCUGCGGGGAGCGCCGAGCUCCGUGGGUGCUCCGCGUAGUGAGUUACCCUGGGUUUGCACUGCCUUGUCUGGAUCUACACCCUUAUCAUUACUGAACAGAUGUGGGGCUUUUCUUUCUCUACUGCUGAGCAUGGGAAUGUGUGCAAUUAUGAGAUGAACUUCUAAGUAGUAAGCCUGUGCCACAAAGUAGAUGUGACACAAAGGCACGGAGCCCAGGGAUAGUAAUCUUGCCUGAGCUGCUCACACGGGCUCUUAUUCCACGGCUUUGUCACAGGCUUCUCUCCUUCUGUGCCAUCACCUUUGAGAAAAAGAAAAAAUGAUUGCACCUUCUCCAGCUCUGCCUUUUUAACAGCCACAGUUGGGUUGGCAAGACUUUCCCAGCUCCGAAUAUAGCCAUUUGCCGACUCCGGCCUCUGCGAGACUGACUUCAAAUCUGUGGUCUUCUGUUCAGCGUACACAUCAGCAGAGCGAGAAGAUGGCUGCUAAAUAUAGGCUCUAUUAACUUUACUUUUAGAUGUACUGCCUUCAGAGAGUGCCUAUUCUGAGGAAUAUAAACCUUAUUCCUACAUAUGUAUACACACACGGUACCCGGACUCGCCCUGUUCAGCCUUCAAAAACACCAUCAGCCGGAGUAGGUGCUGAGAUAGGGAAGCAUGGCCGAAUCGGAGAGAGUGGCUCGUUUCCAAUCUCCCCUUCAGUGGCUACCAUGAAAUGGGCUAAAACAAGAGUCUCCAGCACUUCCUGCUGACACAGCCACUUUGCAUUUAUAUCCCAGAAUAGUGUCAGAUUGCUGAAGAACCUGUAUUUCAUGGAAAUAAUACAAUCACCAACAUUUCAUCAGGGGAGGAAAAGGCAAUUAAUUUGUGUCAUGUGUGUUUCUUAAACUAAGUAUUGCUAGGUUUUGAGUGUCAGCAGGUUUCUUUUAUCUUGUAGGCUAGCCUAGAGAAAACUAAAGUCUUGGCUAUAGGGAACGUAGACUCAGGGGGCCAAGGCAUCCCUGCCAGAUCCUUGAAGCAUUUUUACUCCAGCUCCUAAGAAUACCAGUCCAUGCUAUUUGAGGGCUUUUGUUCCUGGAGCGCUCUCUGACAGUGACAGAGGAACUCUAGGUAUUUUUGAGUAGGCAGCAGCAUAGCCUGGGAGGGUGAGUUGUUACCCAGUGGUGGUUCUAGGAGGUAAGCCAGGUAAAUGUGCUGAGGUACAUAGAAAUCCUGUAUGAUUGUACCAGGGUUGAAGGGAGGACAUGAUUCCAAAAAAGAUUGUUCUCAAUGUGUCGUCUGACUCAACCAGCUGGCAGAUUACACUUGCCAAGUCGCUUCCUUUCCUUCUAAGUCACUUGGCUCCAUUUUCCCUUGAAUAUGCCUCUGAGGAAAGUAAGAUGUGUCGUCCCAUCCACUUAGCCUUUCAGAAAGGACGUUAGUGAUGCCCUCUUGUUCACAAGCUACCGUGAAAUGCCACCUCUCCUACUCAGUUGUACCAAAUGCAAGUAGAGGGGACAAACUGUAGAAGACAUACUUAAUGCCAUUGGAGUGGUCUGCCACUCUGCUUUCCGUACAUGAGCGCAGGAACCCGAGAGAACUGAGGGGACAGCACUGGUGAGUGGCUUUAGGGCUAUAGCCAUUCUUCUUCGGUAACAUCAUGAUUGGAAUCAGGUUGAGUUUUUUCUCUUAGAGGUGAGCAAUACUUUGCCCCCUGUUUCUCCUCCUGCCGAUCCUUUGAUCUCUCUCUAAUUUCAAUACUACUCAUUUGCUACUCUUGACCUGAUCAGAUUGCAAUGCUAGAAAGGGAUUCUAAAAUCUCUGUGUGCUGUCCUCAAGUCUUGGGAAUACACGGGUUCUACUCCUUGGGAACCAACUGAGAUAGACACGAGGCAGCCUUGCUCUGAGUUUCAGUCUGGUGACUUGUGGCCAUGAGAGAUAGCUUGAUGUGAAAGCUAAGGCAUGUUUAAUGGGACAGGUCAAGGACAGAAGGAAAAGCUGUCAGGCUUUCUCUGUGCUAAGUGUAUGUACUGGGAGCAGACACCUCCUUCUAGCUGACCACGAUCACAGCCUCACAAGCAGCAGCUUUGAGACUCAGUAAUAUUUCCAACUUAGGCAAAGCUACAUAGAUGCAUAGAGAAUAUGCCAUUGUUCAUCUACGUGAUACUGAUAGAGCCGUGGUAUUUUCACAGUGUAAGCAAAUUGCAUAUAUUCGAUGCCUCAUAAACCAUCGCUGACAUGCCCACGGGAGCACACGUAAUCCCUUCUGAAAAUCAGGAGAAGCUGUGUUUUAAGAAAGUGAUUUGGGUAAUUUCUUUUGUAUUUACACAUUAUUCAAUCAUAUUAAAACAUGUUUUUAUUUACAUUCUAUCAGUUUUGAUUGUGUUUCCCCAGUGCUCAAUGAGAAUAAAUAUGAAAAUCACAUGCUUUUUUUCUGUAAAAGAACUACUUUAUAUUUAGAAAUCCAAUAAACUUCUCAUUCCAC